ACGACCAUAUAACAUCGAAACACCGAUCACUGAAGUUAAGCAACGUCGGGCCUGUUCAGUAUCUAGAUGGGUAGCCGCUUGGGAAUACUAGGUGCUGUAAG